rnacentral:rRNA from 1 species
AUGCCGAAGAAGGGGCUCAAGAAGCUGCACGCCAAGGAUGCGCUCGACUUCUUCAACCAGGUCAUGGUGGAGCAGCCCCUGCUCCCCUUCCUCAUCCCGCUCGGCCUCUUCGCGUGGUUCGUCGAGCGCUGGGUCGUGCCCUUCUCCAACUGGGUGCCCCUCGCGGCCGCCGUCUGGGCGACCAUUCAGUAUGGGAGGUUUAAACGGAAGAUGGCUGUAGAAGAUUUGAACAAAAGAUGGAAGCACCUUAUACUGAACACAACACCUACCACACCAAUAGAACCUUGCGAGUGGUUGAACAAACUUUUGAUUGAAGUUUGGCCAAACUACAUGGAACCGAAACUAUCAAAGAAGUUCCAAUCUACUGUCGAGAGACGUUUAAAGAACCGAAAACCAAAACUGAUAGAUAAAAUAGAAUUACAGGAAUUCUCGCUCGGUUCUUGCCCACCUACCUUGGGAGAGCAGGGUAUGCGCUGGAUGACUUCAGGUGAACAGCAAGUCAUGUCCUUGGGUUUUGAUUGGCACAGCAAAGAGAUGAGUGUGAUGUUUAUGGCGAAAUUAGCAAAACCUCUGAUGGGCACUGCUCGCAUUGUUAUAAACAGCAUCCACAUCAAGGGAGAUCUUCUACUGAGUCCCAUUCUUGAUGGUGAAGCUGUCCUCUAUUCUUUUGAAUCUACUCCAGAAGUCAGGAUUGGCGUAGCAUUUGGAAGUGGUGGAAGCCAAACAGUUCCUGGUAUGGAGUUACCAGGUGUCUCAACAUGGCUGGUAAAGCUUUUGACUGAAACAAUAGCUAAGACAAUGGUUGAGCCUCGCCGUCUCUGCUUUUCUUUGCCACCAGUAGAUCUGAAGAAACAAGCAGUUGGUGGUGUUCUUUCUGUUACUGUUGUUUCAGCUAGUAAUCUUGGCAGAAAGAGCAGAACUAUUGAGUUAGGGAACAACCAAAGCUCAAGUGGAAACACUACACCUGGGAUUCCUCUUAACAGGAGGGCACAUACAUUUAUUGAGGUAGAAGUUGGCACUUUGACGAGAAAAACAACUACUUGUGAGGGUCCAAAUCCUACAUGGAACAGCACAUUUAACAUGGUGCUGCAUGGAGAGACAGGUGUUGUCAAGUUUCUUCUGUAUGAACUGGAUUCCGAUGGUGUCAAGUAUAAUUACCUAACAAGCUGUGAGAUAAAGGUCAAGUAUGUUUUGGAUGGUUCAACAAUAUUUUGGGCUAUAGGACAUAAUGAUGGUGUGGUUGCAAGGCAUGCUGAGCAUUGUGGGAAAGAAGUUGGAAUGGUGGUUCCAUUUGAGGAGGAUAUCACAGGCGAGUUAACUGUCAGUCUUGUGCUAAAAGAAUGGCAAUUCUCUGAUGGGUCGGUUACAUUGAGUAACUCUCUGAGCAAUGAAUUCCAAUGUUCCAUUGAUGGAUCACCGAAGCUUCAGUCAAGGACAGGAAGGAAGCUCAGAGUCAAAGUAGUGGAGGGUAGGGCCCUUGCAGUAAACAGUAAAUCUGGGAAAUGCGAUCCUUAUGUGAAACUCCAGUAUGGAAAGGCUCUAUACAGAACGAAGACACUCUCUCGUACGGCCCAACCAGUUUGGAAUGACAAGUUUGAAUUUGAUGAGAUUGGUGGUGGUGAAUAUCUGAAGGUCAAAUGCUAUAAUUUAGAUACAUUCAGUGAUGAUAGCAUUGGCAGUGCAAGAGUAAAUCUGGAGGGACUUCUAGAUGGUGCUAGCCGAGAUGUGUGGGUACCUCUUGAAAAAGUAGAUUCAGGAGAGAUCAGGCUCGAAAUAGAGGCAAUACCAAAUGAUCACAACGACAGUCUGAAGAGAUCAAGCAGUAAAGUUGAAGCUGGCUGGAUCGAGCUAGUAAUAAUUGAAGCCAGGGAUCUUGUUGCUGCUGAUCUUAGAGGAACUAGUGAUCCAUAUGUCAGGGUGCAAUAUGGGAACAAGAAGAAGCGAACCAAGGUCAUUUACAAGACGCUGGCUCCAAACUGGAACCAGACAUUUGAGUUUGCGGAAACCGGAGAGCCCAUGAUCCUGCAUGUCAAGGACCAUAACGCGGUCCUUCCAACCGCCAGCAUAGGCAACUGCACCGUCGAAUACAGCAUGCUUUCUCCGAAUCAACCCGCCGACAAAUGGAUACCGCUGCAAGGAGUGCGGAGCGGAGAAAUCCAUGUCAAGAUCACCCGGAGAGUCGCGAACUCGGAAAAGAAAAGCAGCCUGCUGACAGAUGCGUCCGCCCUCGGCAAAGGACACAAGAUAUCUGCACAGGUGAGCCAAUGCAUAACUCCAUGCUUUUUUCUGUUCACUCCUGCCACUUUAAUUCUCCUCUGUGAUGAACAUCACUGCUUAUAUGUCCCGUGUGAUGAACAUCCUUUGAAACUCUGUACAGAUGAGAGACAGCCUGAAGAAAUGCUCAGGCUUGGUCGACGACGGCGGCGAUGCGGAGGCGCUGUCGCUGGCCCUGACGGAGGUGGAGAGCGUCCAGGACGAGCAGGAUUUGUACAUACAGCAGCUGGAGCGGGAGAAGGCCCUGAUGCUGCAGAAGAUACAUGA